GGCAUCUCAGCCUUCCUGAAGCUGUCAUAACAAACUGGGAAGGGGGUGUUGUGUGACGAGUAACAAUGAUAGAAUUCACGUGGGGAUUAGGUCUUGAAGGUAACGCUGGUUCAGUGAUAGUGAGCAGCCUGGUUUGUGCUUGAGAACACUCUCUGGGAGCAGAUCACAUGAAGAGAGGUUACAGCAGAAAUCUGGAAGAUGGGAAGAACCAGAAGCGAGGAGCCUCUAAUGAAGGAGAAGGGAAGCUGGACCUCAUAACACAAUCGGAUCUCUCUCCUGAGGCAUCUACAACAACUGGUGAAAAGACAAACAUGAGAAAACCUUCCCUGAGACCCACCUGUAACUAAGAACAGUGAUUCAAAGUCUUUAGGGCCAGGAAUUAGGGCUUUUGAAGUUUCCUGAGAGAUUCCAGCAUAUAGCAGAGUUGAGAAACAUGAGUCCGUGUGUUUAUCCAUGAAUUUAUGCAUAUUGCUUUAUUGAUUUGAAUUGAAGACUAAAAGGAUCAAAAUAAGCAAUGAUAGAAAUUUACAAUAAAGCACACCAUCUCAGCAUUUUAAAUGCAUUUUUGUAUGUAAUAAGACAAAAAAUAAUAAAAUCAACC
rnacentral:lncRNA from 1 species